AGCGAACGCUAGCGGCGGGCUUAACACAUGCAAGUCGAGCGCGUGGCUUCGGCCACGAGCGGCGAACGGGUGAGUAACACGUAGGUCAUCUGCCCUUUGGUGGGGAAUAACCCGAGGAAACUCGGGCUAAUACCGCAUACUGCCCUUCGGGUCAAAGGCUUCGGCCGCCAGAGGAUGAGCCUGCGUCGCAUUACCUAGUUGGUGGGGUAAUGGCCCACCAAGGGGACGAUGCGUAGCUGGUCUGAGAGGAUGAUCAGCCACACUGGGACUGAGACACGGCCCAGACUCCUACGGGAGGCAGCAGUGGGGAAUAUUGCGCAAUGGGGGAAACCCUGACGCAGCCACGCCGCGUGGGUGAUGAAGGCCUCGGGUUGUAAAGCCGUGUCGGGGGGACGGAAGUACUGACGGUACCC
rnacentral:rRNA from 1 species